CGAUGAACGCUGGCGGUAUGCUUAACACAUGCAAGUCGAACGGACUCUUAGGAGUUAGUGGCGGACGGGUGAGUAACGCGUGAGAAUUUGGCUUCAGGUCGGGGACAACAGUUGGAAACGACUGCUAAUACCGGAUGUGCCGGAAGGUGAAAGAUUUAUCGCCUGAAGAUAAGCUCGCGUCUGAUUAGCUAGUUGGUGGUGUAAGGGACUACCAAGGCGACGAUCAGUAGCUGGUCUGAGAGGAUGAUCAGCCACACUGGGACUGAGACACGGCCCAGACUCCUACGGGAGGCAGCAGUGGGGAAUUUUCCGCAAUGGGCGAAAGCCUGACGGAGCAAUACCGCGUGAGGGAGGAAGGCUCUUGGGUCGUAAACCUCUUUUCUCAAGGAAGAAGAAAGUGACGGUACUUGAGGAAUAAGCAUCGGCUAACUCCGUGCCAGCAGCCGCGGUAAUACGGAGGAUGCAAGCGUUAUCCGGAAUGAUUGGGCGUAAAGGGUCUGUAGGUGGUACUGAAAGUCUGCUGUUAAAGAGCAAGGCUCAACCUUGUAAGAGCAGUGGAAACUACAGAACUAGAGUGCGGUAGGGGCAAAAGGAAUUCCUGGUGUAGCGGUGAAAUGCGUAGAUAUCAGGAAGAACACCGGUGGCGAAAGCGUUUUGCUAGACCGCAACUGACACUGAGGGACGAAAGCUAGGGGAGCGAAUGGGAUUAGA
rnacentral:rRNA from 1 species